rnacentral:pre_miRNA from 1 species
GCCACGGAUGUCCAGUCACAACUCUUGGGUAUCUUGAAUCAUACAAGAAUUGCGUUUGGACAAUCAGAGCU